AGAGAUGUCUGGGCCUUGACCAAUGAGAUCUUCAGGAGUACUUCAGCAGCUGUUUCGGAUUUUUCUCUGUGGAUGUCCUCAUGGGACUAAGUGGAAAUUGGAAAAGUAUCAUCAAACUCUUCUUGAGAUUCCUUUUUGAUAAGGAAGAUUGCAGAAAAAUUUGUGGCUGAAGAGGAUGCACUGAGAAGAAAGAUAACUGCCCUUAUUCUAAAUCCCAAUCUUCAAUCAAGUACUAAGAUGGUCUGCACUUUGCCUACUGCCCUGCUGGGAAAAUGCACUGACCAGUCAUCAGCAAAUUCUAGCCCAUUCAGCAGGUUGAAAAGCUACUGACCAGGAAGGUCAUUUCCAGCAUUUCCCAUAGCUUCAAGAUUACUAGUACAGACGCAGAAGGUAAUGUAAAACAAAGCCACUUAAUCCGGUGAAGUUUUCUUGUGACAGGGUCCCUUUAAAGACUAUUAUCCUGAUUUCCAUCCACCCUUUGAUAGAAUCAAUGUGUACUAGAUUUAAGCAGAAUCCUGUAAAUAUCCUCCCUAUUUAUAUCUUUAACAUAAAACAGCCUAAGUGGCACAUGACAGGUGAGGAGAACAGCACUAUGUUGUAGGCUAAGCAGACCCAAAGCCACUCACUCACUCACUCAGCCAGCCAAACAAGGUCCCUUCAGAGGGGCUUUCACAGACAUGCAUCUACUGACCACUCCUGAGUAAUAAUCUAUUCUCUGCUAGUAAACAGUGCAGAUGUAUUUUAAUAAGAGGAUUGCGGCCUGGCACGCUGGCUCAUGCCUGUAAUUCCAGCACUUUGGGAGGCCGAGGCAGGCGGAUCACGAGGUCAGGAGAUCGAGACCAUCCUGGCUAACACAGUGAAACCCCGUCUCUACUAAAAAUACAAAAAAUUAGCUGGGCAUGGUGGCAGGCGCCUGUAGCCCCAGCUACUCGAGAGGCUGAGGCAGAAGAAUGGCCUGAACCCAGGAGGCGGAGCUUGCAGUGAGCUGAGAUCACGCCACUGCACUCCAGCCUGGGCAACAGAGCAAGACUCUGUCUCAAAAUAAAAUAAAAUAAAAUAAAAAAUUAAUAAGAGGAUUGCAACUUUGUGAUCUUUUUGAUUUUGGAGCAUUCGGAAACAAGAAUGGCCAUCCCACCACGACAGCAAUGUCAAGCCAGUAAGCCCUGACUUGCUUUUCAUAGCUGCCACCCCCAGGUAGGAGUCCUGGGAGCUGGUGAAGGACAGCUGCUCUGUGAGCUUCAAGGUCUUCUUUCAGAAUGCCAUUGUGAUUACAGAGCCUAUAAAAUAAAAAAGAUGCUGCAGGAGAUGCUUAUUUAAGCACAGAUCACCAGCUUCUAGAAUCUAUGAUGGUUCUUCAUGGUUUACUGAAAUAUAUCUGUAAUAUAAUCUGGACAUUAAAAUGCAGCAACUAUACUGUCUCUCAACAAAGACAUAAAAUGGGGCAGUUUGAAAAACUUGUUUGCGUGUAUGCGGCAAUUUUAAAUCCAUCAGAGGAAGUAACUUUUAACCCUUUGUUGACUUUAAUGAUGUUCAAAUCCACAGCUGGGCAAUCUCGUUCCACAUUCCACCUGAAUGACAGUGUUUUUCAGAGGGUUAGCCUGGCAGCCUUGCAAGGAUGGAGUUGGUGAGGAGAGAGACCUGAGGCCCAGAGACCAGUCAGGAGACUGACUUUGUGCUGUAGGUGGCAGAGGAAGAGCAGGUUAGUACUGUGCAGUACUGGAAACUGGCUGACACUCCAUGGUGCUGGUGGAUGCUGCAGUGGGAGCAGGUUCCCUCCAUGCAUUCGGCACAAUGCUGAGCAUACAACUUAAUGAUACUACAUGUCAAAUGACAAGCUGAAACUUAAACCCAGAUGAAAGAAAUUCAUAUGACACACUUAUCUUUACAGUAUUUUUUUUUUUUUAAUAAAAAUGAGAUGGGGUCUUGCUUUGUUGCCCAGGCUGGUCUCAAACUCUUGAGCUCAAGCAAUCCUCCCACCUUGGCCUCCCAAAGUUCUGCGAUUACAGACAUGAGCCACCACACCUGGCUGACAGUAUUUUUAUAAUGGUUGUUGUUACACCAGUCCAGGGUUUCCCCCUUGGUACUGGGUGAUCAAUCAGCUGGCCACAAGCACUAUGCACAGAGCUUAUGAUCUACUCUAACUCAGAACUUUCUCGGACUAAAAGAUGAGCUGGUUUAUGCU
rnacentral:lncRNA from 1 species